CCGCAUCACUUCCAGUCCGGAGGUGUGUGUCUUCUCAGAGCAGCGACAGAGUGCGCCGUGCUCCAUUGUCCCACCUGGCUGCAUUUGUAUUGGUGAAUGCCAGUAGCUGUGCGGGUUUCCUCUCUCCCUCACUCUCCGUGUGCCUGUCAGACUCUGGAAAGGAAAGUCUCAUCAGCUGGCUGAGUCCACCGGUGGUGCGGACGUGACGUCACCACCACCAGCUGAUCAGAGCCGCUGCUGUUUUGUCUCCACUGUGUCCUUGUAUUGGCUGCUGCUGUAUCUGCUUUGCUUCGUUUGGUCCCUGGCUGCGUCUGGCUAGUUUGCACAUUGGCUGCCGCUCUCUCGUCUCGCUUGCUGCUUCCCACUGCAUCGCUGGGGUUUGCAUAGUGGCGCUGCUUCACGGCUUGGAUUGCGGUUGGCUACCGUGCCACUUUUGACUACAAUCAUCUGGGCUGUGUAUAGGACUGAAACAUUUUAAUUCCAUUAAGUGUGUGAUUGUGUGGAGUUACUCUUAUUUUUUUACUUGUUAAUUUGGCCCAGCCCCUUAAUUUCUUAUUAUUUCAAUAGCCGGUUUUGAUUAAUUUGAUUUCUUUGUGCGAUUUAAAUAUCUGUUUGGGGGCAAUUGUUUAUUUUUGUUAUAUUGUUUAUUUCAGUUUUGUUGUUUUGGGCAGUUAUUUUGCUUAGUUUACUGUUUCCUGCCUACUUUUCUUAGUUAGUAUAUUUUGUCUUAUGCUGUAAUUAAUUUCUGUUGUAACUCUGUGUUUUAUCCCCUUUUCAGUUGCUGCAGGCCGGUGGUGGUGGUGGUGUUGGUCACCUGGGUGGUGGUAUCCCUCCCUUUUUGUGUGCCGUGUCUUCCUGGGAUCGUGGGUGAUUUCACAAAGUGUGAGUGACUGUCACGUAUGCCUGGGUGUUCAAUUUAUUUAGCUUAAUAUUUUCUUUGUUCGAUGGAUUCCCAUCCCCCUCGCUAGCUCCGGUCUCACCAGCAGGCCUCAGCUCCUGAUUAGGUUCCCCUCCCCCUUCCUUUUGGUAUGAAUGGAGUUUUGUAGUUUUUAAAAAAUGUAUUUUUUGGAAUAAAG